rnacentral:rRNA from 1 species
UACAGAGGGUGCAAGCGUUGCUCGGAUUUACUGGGCGUAAAGGGCGCGCAGGCGGCGCAUUUUGUCAGGCGUGAAAGCCCCGGGCUUAACCUGGGAACUGCGUUUGAUACGGAUGGGCUAGAGUUCGGGAGAGGAGAGUGGAAUUCCCAGUGUAGAGGUGAAAUUCGUAGAUAUUGGGAAGAACACCGGUGGCGAAGGCGGCUCUCUGGACCGAGACUGACGCUGAGGCGCGAAAGCGUGGGGAGCAAACAGG